AGGAAUAUUUAGCUCACGUUUAGCGCGUAGUGUAGUGUAUGUACAGGUGCACACACAUGUGUAUAUUUAUAUAUGUGCACCUCUGAUUGCUUUCGAUCCCACUUUGGAGUUCAAUUAGAGGUGGUGUGAUGCGCGUGGUGUGAUGCUCGAAAGAUGCCUGCGAUCAGUUUUUUGUCUUCUUACAACGAGAUAAGAACGGGAAUGCCAAAGAUUUUGUCGCGUCAUGGUAGACGAUAAAGCGUCAAUCACGGAAACCAGGUAUCGUAUGGUAAAUGUGACUCGGGACGACGAUUCGAGGGAAACGCAACAACGUGUAAAAACAACGAUGCCUUCGGAACUGAGGUCGAUCAGCGCGAGCGACUGGAUUACAGUCGCCGUUCUCUGUUUCGUAAAUCUUAUAAAUUAUAUGGACCGUUUUACGAUCGCCGGGGUACUGACCGACAUUAAAGAUGAUUUUAGUAUUGGUAAUGAUAUGUCUGGACUACUACAAACUGCAUUUAUCUUGAGUUAUAUGAUAUUCGCACCAUUAUUUGGAUACCUAGGAGAUCGCUAUAGUAGAAAAUUGAUUAUGAGCGGUGGUGUAUUUUUAUGGUGCUUAACAACAUUUAUUGGUUCUUAUAUGAAGACAUUUGGAUGGUUCUUAUUCUUUAGAGCACUUGUUGGUAUAGGAGAAGCCAGUUAUUCCACAAUUGCACCAACAAUAAUUAGUGAUUUAUUUGUGAAAGAUGUACGUUCUAAAAUGCUUGCCCUAUUUUAUUUCGCUAUCCCAGUUGGAAGUGGCCUGGGAUAUAUCAUAGGAGGUGAAACAGCUCGUAUUGCUGGCAACUGGCAAUGGGGGUUACGCAUUACUCCUGUGUUAGGUAUUAUAGCGAUUAUAUUGUUAAUCACUGUGGUCAGAGAUCCUAUUAGAGGUGAGGUAGAAGGUGGUGUUCAUUUAACAACUACUACGUGGUCAUAUGAUAUCAAGCAAUUAUUGAAAAAUCCAAGCUUUAUGCUGUCUACUGCAGGAUUUACUUGUGUGGCAUUUGUAACUGGUGCUCUAGCAUGGUGGGCGCCAACAUAUCUACAAUACGGUUUUAAAUUACUUCCUUAUGGAGUAGCUGUCGAUCCAGACGAUGUCGCAUAUAAGUUUGGAUUAAUUGGUAUGGCAUCUGGUCUAAUAGGUGUACCAUUAGGUUCUACCAUAGCACAAAAAUUACGAGUCUAUUGGCAACAAGCUGAUCCUCUAAUAUGCGCCAUAGGUCUUCUAAUAAGCGCUCCUUUAUUAUUCUUUGCUAUGAUUACUGCCAAUACAAACUCUACUCUCUGUUAUAUAUUAAUAUUCUUUGGUCAAUUAUCAUUAAAUUUGAAUUGGUCUAUUGUAGCAGAUAUGUUAUUGUAUGUAGUAAUUCCUACAAGGAGAUCUACAGCAGAGGCAUUCCAAAUACUUAUCGCACAUGCUCUUGGAGAUGCAGGCAGUCCUUAUCUUAUUGGACUGAUAUCGGAAGGAUUAAAGUCCAGUCUCUUACCAGAUUUAGCUGUAGGAGGACAAUCUGCUGUUCAUGACGAUCAAAACAUCAUCGAAUUUCGUAGCCUACAAUAUGCAAUGUUUCUUACAAUGUUUGUAGAAGUAAUUGGUGCUCUCUUUUUCUUCCUGACAGCACUACACAUACAAAAAGAUAAAGCAUUGGUCGAUCUUGCUAUUGCAGUACAUGAAUUGUUCUCAACUUUGGACUUACAAGCACAAGUUUUGGGAUCAAAAAGAAGACAAAUUUCUAGAUACUAAGAAUAAUGGGCAAGCUGAAUCAACGCAUUUAUAGAUCAUCACUGGGCCUCACCUGAUAGUGUGCUGUGUAUCUGGUGGAAGUAUUUCAGACUCAGUGUGUAUUUGCAACGAUGCAGUUGAUAGUGAAUUACAAAAUGAUAGAAAUACAAUAUUAGAAUAUAAUAGGCAUUACGAGGAACCCGCGUCACACAUAUAGAUAUUAUAUAGAACUUUAAUACUUUAGAUAAGUUAUAAUUAUUACGAGUGUACAGUAUAUAGUUCUAUCAAACAUCAGAUUGAUUUGAUUUUAUAAAACAAGAUGUGUCAUAUAUUGACAUAAAAAUAUGUUCUGUAUACAGAACGUAUUUAUGAAGAAAAUUUGCAUAUAAUCAUAAGAGAGAGUAUCCUCAGAGAGGUAUUUGUAAGUUACCACUGUUAAUAGUGUACAAAUAUCCGAUUCACAAUGAAACUCUUAGGAUGUAGAUGGAACACCGCCUUUAUAAAUUGUACAAUAUUUUUAAAUAUUAUAUUUUUAUAAUCAUUGCAAAUUCACAUAUAUGUAGUAUAUUAUUGAAAUCAUCACAUAAUAAAUGCAAAUUGUAGGAACAAUAACACAAUGAAUAAUAAAACUGUAUUAGUAAACAAUUUGGGUAUAAGAUGCACAAGUAUUUUCAGACUAAAUUAUUAGUAACAUUAACAACAUUGCGUUGGUAUUAAAUUAUGAAAGUACUAAUAAUUGCGUGAUUGUUUAUUAAAAAAAAAC
rnacentral:misc_RNA from 1 species